CCAUAUAUCCAUCUAUAGUAGCAUAAGUUUCUUAUCUACACUCUGAACAUGUUCCCAAGGAAAUGAAGGCUAAAAGUAGCAGUAGGUAUUCACUAACCAAUAUAAGGAAGAUGAUCCAAAGGAAGAGCACAUCCAGUUUUGUCUCCAGCAGCAGCAAGGGCACUAUGGCAGAACUGAUCUUCCCAAGAUAUCAUAUAAAUUGUGUGUGUGACUCUGUCACCUGGUGCAUCAUCAGAGAUACGAACAUCAAUGUUUGCUUACAAAAGCAUGUUACUGGAUAACCAUCCAAUUCAAGACAAAAAAUGAUAAUAGCAUAUUAAACUCUUAUUGGACAGAAAAAUGGCUAUUAGAAAAAUAGAACAAAUGGUUCAUAUCAUUAAAUCAGAUCCAAAUCAUAUGCCUGGUUGACUCUGUAACUUACCACGGCCAGACCCCUGACUACUUCCAAAUCAUAACCUCCACGUUUUGUCGAUGCUUGUGAAACAUCCCCUUUGUUGCCACUCCCUCAAUUAGAGUUUGAUUGACAUGAUGAUAAGGGCAUGUGUAACUCUUGCUCAAUCAAAAUCCAUGCAAACCAUUUUACAGAAAUUAUAAUGCAUCAUAGAGUUGAACACAUAUCAAUAGAUAUUGCACUACUGAUACAAAAGAGGCAUUACUAAUACACAUAGCACAUUCAGCUAGGCAUUUAGACAAAGAUGUGGAAGGCAUGCUACUAAAGCAUUAGUUGAUGCUACAUAAGAAAAGAUAGAAACUGAUAUUUUCAUUAGCAAUCAACCAAACACUUUUUUGGAAUAAGAGUUGAUCAAAAUCACACUACAUGAGACCUGCUAGAUUAGCUAUUAAACUUACCAAGAAACAACCUUCAUAUACAUGCUCUCAAAUAUCACCCAAUAGGUUUACUUUCUGCAAUGUAUCCUAACUAAGUAACUAUUACUUCAGGAAACCGUGACUCGCUAACAAUGAUUUUUGAGAAUUCUAACAUGCAAGUUUCAUGAAUCAUAUGACUUCGGGAAACCUAUAGAGAAGGCUAAUGGCUGUUAAAUCAUGAGAGCAACGAGUACUAUACCAGCCAUCCGACAAACAAAGUCAAUCCAUUCUAUAAGUAGAGGUUGCGAGUCUUCUGGCUAGAAACAUCCAGAUACCUACACCAAAUCAUAAUAAUUUUUCAGAAACGACACAUCUUAACCCAAAUUCUUUAAGGAUUGUAUCAGUGGCAUCAAACGUUACCAUUUAAGGUUCAAUGGUGGCUUCAGUUAAGAGGACCAUAACUAGGUACAUGUGUGCUUUCCCACUAAACAAAGCAAGACAGAUUGCGAGUGGAAACUACAUGAUGCAAGAGCUGAAACAAAAUUAUAUAGAAACAACACUGGUAUGCGUCGGUCCUAUACAAACGGUUAUUAACCCCUUUCCGCGACGGCAUUUGGAACCGUCGUCUAGUGAGUGUGGGCGAUGGGGGGAUCCUUCCCACACGGCCAAGAAAUCGUCGGGGAUAUGCCCUCCUAGCACACAUGCUCGACAAAAUGAGGUCAUGUGCGACCAGCGAGCGUUCAAAUACGAAAAUACGUACAUUAGAGCUAAAAAUACAAUUAUAUGGCAAAAUUGUUUUUGGUCGCAAGUACAUCCCACACAGUCAGUCCCCGCUAAACGUUUCCGUUCGUAUGUACAUCCCACAUAGUCGCUCCAAGGAAAACAUUUUCGUUCAUAGGUACAUCACACACAAUUUUUCCUGUUAAAUCAUUUGUGUUAUUAAAUGUAUCACACACGGUCCAUAGAAGAAACUGUGUGGCAAAGGUUGUCCAUCACACAUAGUUUUUAUGUGGUAAACGUUUGCGCGAGGUGGCCUAACGCAAACAGUUUUCAAGAGAAAGUCAUGUGUGAUUGUUUAUUGAUCCAACACGGUUUAUUCCUAGAAACUGUGUGCGUUGCCUGAGGUCAUCGCCCACGGUAUUUUUUCAACAACCGUUCAUAAUAUAAAAACCCAAUUAGCAGGCUAAUUGCCCUAUUAUUAAUAAUCCAUUUAUUAAUCUAAUUGACAUUCAUAUUAAGCACAUAAUAUAUUUCAUUUCCAUAUUAAGGAAGUAGAAUUUCAUAAUUGAAAUAUAUCAGAGUACAACAUGAUAUAGCUUCAGCACUCGGCUACCCCAUUACACAACUACACCAGCACCAACUUUCACAUGCAACAUCUAUAACCUUUCGAAAUUAGCAUCAUAGACGAUACAUAGACAUAUGCAUCUCAUCUGGAAAACUGCUGAAGCGGAAGGCGAAUAUUGAGCCUUCAUUGAUGUUGAAGGUCUUUGCAACUUUAGGCCAGUGCCUGUGGAUGAUUGACCGUCCAUCCUUCGUCCUCUUCAGGAACACUUCAAUAUUGAACCAUGGGUGUUGUAUGAAUACCUUCCUCGCCUCCUGACCAUAGAGGUGGGUUGAGAGGUAAUCAUUAGUGAACUACUUUGGAAAGGCCUGAAAACAAGGAUGUGCAUAAAUAUCUUCUCUAUAUUGGAAAUAGGGCAAAGGAAUAAAAAAAGGCAAGGUAUAAUAGUUAGUACCAUCUUGUAGUGAACUGAUGUCUUCUUCAUUGUGCAGACAAAGAUCUUGUUGUUUUUGUCGCUAAUUUCUAUAUCCUAACAAUCUUUUUGAGUUUCUUGACUUGACUGAUAUUCAUGGAUAACUCAUUUCCCCAUAUGCAAAAAGGGUUGAACGGUGGGUCAAAACCUCUGACAAGAGGACCUACAUGUGCAAGACCAAAUUGUUAAAAACCAAACCAUUAGAAUGGUUCCUGCAAUUGCACAAUAAUGUGCUAUUAGAGAACGGACCAUGCACAUGCUAACCUCGAUUAUAAACCUCAGUGCUUCCCAUUGUUUCCCUGCAACACAUAUAAGGUAGUUAGUCAUCAGGUUAAGUAAGGGUUCGCAUGCUAUCAGUAAAAAUAUGUUGAUGGAAAAUAAGCACAUUGCAGAUUCAUCAGAUUAAUUCAAGCGCAUGGAAAAUCCAUUUAUCCAAACCAAGCAUGAUUAAGAACUAGGAAAUAUAGCACUUGUAUAUGUUUCUCAUGUAUUAAGUGCAGCCAAAUUCAAUUUAUUCCUCACAUGCACAACAAUAAAAAAUUCUACCCACGACAAUUGGACAUCACAGUGUAGAAUUGAACCAAGUAGUUAGCUAAACACCCCAAAAAUGAACCAAACAUUAACUGAGCACCACAUUGCACAAUAUAACAUACUCCUAAUAGAAGAUCAGAUAGUUAACCAAACCAAGCAUGCUUAACAACUUGGAAAUAUAGCAAUUGUAUUUGUUUCUCAUGUAUUUAGUACAGCCAAAUUCAAUUUAUUCCUCACAUGGUAUACAAUAACAGAAUGCAGCCACAACAAUUGAACAUCGCAUUGCAGAAUUGAACCAAGCAGUUAACUAAACACCACAACAAAUGAACCAAAUGUUAACUAAGCACCACAUUGCAUAAUAUAACAUACUCGUAAUAGAAGAUCUGACAUUUAACCAAACCAAGAAUGCUUAACAACUUGGAAAUAUUGCACCCUGAAGAAUUGAACAUCACAUUUGCAGAAUUGAACCAAGCAGUUAACUGAACACCACAUUGCACGACCUAUAGAACAUAUACACUAUAGCAGAAGAUUGCAUGGUAAAAGUAGAUAGCAUAAUUCACUAGAAUUUGUUAAGGAAAGGCAGUAGCUAUCAAACUGAAUAUGGGUCCUUGUAGUGAGCUAAUAAGACAAGCUACUCCUCAUUGUCGGAGAUAUCGAUGACGAUUGGCUCCUUGGACAUGGAAGAGGGCAAGGCCUCCACAUCGUGGGUGCCCUCGUUGUAGUGGUGAGUUGCCUGAGCCGCUCCGGGCACCAACCUGCUGGCUCUCGAGAUGAGGUAAGCAUGUGCACGCUGAGAAAACACCUCAUAGUCUUCGUCGAAGGCAUCUACGGUGGCCUCAAUAAAACGCCAUGAACUGUCGUUUAAAGCAGCCAACCGCGUCGCAGCGUCGGCGCGGGAGGCAUCAAUGGUUUCCUCGACGGUGAGGUGCUCCUCCAAGAUCUAGGGGUCGGCACGAAUGGCAGCCAUCGCGACCUCAUCCGCGCGUGCGGCCGCGAUUUGCUUCUCCACUGCCAAAUGCUCCUUGAGAUCCUGGCUAUACUGCGUGCACCAUGGCUUAGGGGUGGCGCUUAUUUGGUGGAGGGGUCGGUGAUUUGGGUGGAAGGUGUCGCGCUCGCACUGGCGGUCGGGGCAUGUGGGAUGUGGAAGGAGGAGGAGGAUGGGGUCGGGUAUGGAUUACCUGCUUGGAUAGGCGAGGCCGAGCAGCUUGAAGGAGGGUCGCCGGCGAGGAGGCAGCGCUGCAAGCAAGGAGUGAAGGUUUCAACUUGGAAAGGAAGGCGGAAACAGGGGAAAUGUGGCUUUUGGUAAGGGGGGGGCUAGGAGGUAGAUAUUUCCGCGGAAGCCAGAAAUUUGGAAUCGCUUCAGCAAAAAAACUGGCGCGCAAAGUGUCAUCAGACACGGUCCCUUAUUCAGAACUGUGUACGAUAUGUGAACAUACAAACGAUUCAAAUAGCUUAACCCGUGUGUGUUGAGUUUGAACGUAAAACAUUUUGGUUCGAAUUUUCGUGGUUAUAGUGGUCAUCCACGUCAUUGCAUAAUUUGGGUACACAAAGGAGACUAACUUCUUAAUCGAUCAAGUUCAGUAAUUAAACAGAGCUAGAUGACCUAAACAUUACUCUAACAAAUCAAAGACCGGCGCUCUUAAUUAAACAAAACAAAGAGUACUACUACGGCUGGUGCUCGUCAAUCUCCGCCACCGCCUCCAUGUCUAGCUCGCGGCCGCGCUCUCGCUGGAGUGGGCCGCCGAAGUUACCCUCACGACGUGGGUCCACGUCCCCAUCUUUCACCGACGACGAAUGAACAGUGAAAUGAUAUUUGGGAAGUGAGCUAGUGUGCUUGACACGCUGACUGUGGACUGUAGCCGACGCACCUUCUCGCGUAAGCCAUAGGCGUACUAUAAAUCGACAGUGCUCCAAGAUAUUUUGUGCUGCAUCUCACACGGUUGGUGAUAAUAAACUAUGUGCGAUCUACUUGAUUUAUCGUCUUGAUUUGAAUUACGUAAUUGGGGUCACAACUACAAAGGAUGGUGUUUGAAUUGUUAGAACUUUUAUCUGCAGUGAACAUGCAACUAUAGGUGUGUCGUCAAAAAAUGGAAUUAUUCAGGGUUCGUUUGGACGUUUUUUAUACAUUAACUUGGUUUUCCAGGCAUUUUAUGCGCAUAAUUCUAAUUUAAACUACAUGCACAUGCUCCAGUGCAUAUAAACUAGUUGAAAAAUCAAAUAUGUGUCCUUGGUUGCAUGAUUAGGUCUCAUGCAAGAAAUGGGAAUGAAUGUCACACACCCUCCCACCGUCACUCGGUCGCAAACAUUGAGAUACAUGGCUUUUAAAUUCUAGUAAAUCCAAAACUCGUCUAAAAAUCAUGAAACUUGGCAUGCUAUCAUGGAGCGGCAUCAACAUGCCAUGGUAAAAAAUGUGUCCCAUUUGGGGCAGGUUUGGGUAUAAGCUUCUCACAAACCAGAGCUUCUCACAACAAGCGUGAUGGUUUCGGUAGGGAACGUCCCACCUUUGGGGAAAAAACGAUAUCCAUUGCCUCUUAUUGCUUCCAAAAAAUUUCUCAUGUCAACAUAGAACAACAGGAGUGUUGUGUCAAUUUUUGUGAUUUUCGGGGUUCAUUUGGACAUUUUUAUGCAUUAACUGAGUUCUCAAUGCAUCUAUGUGCAUAAUUCAAAUUUGAACUACAUGCACAUGCACCAAUGCAUAUAAAUUGGUUGAAAAAUCAAAUUUGUGUCCUUGGGUGCAUGCUUAGGUCCCAUGCAAGAAAUGGGAAUGAAUUUCAAACACCGGGGCACCGUUGAUUGCCGGUAAAACAUUGAGAUGCAUGGUUUUUAAAUUCUAUUAAAUCCAAAACUUGUCUGAAAUUCAUGAAACUUGGCAUGCUAUCAUGGAGCGGCAUCAACAUGUCAUGGUAAAAAAUUUGUCCCAUUUGGGGCAGGUUUGGGUAUAUGCUUCUCACAAACCAGAGCUUCUCACAACAAGCAUGAUGGUUUCGGUACGGAAUGUCCCACCUUUGGGGACGAAAUGAUAUCCAUUGCCUGUUAUUGCUUUCAAAAAAUUUCUCGUGUCAACAUAGAACAACAAGAGUGUUGUGCCAAUUUUUGUGAUUCUUCGGGGUUCGUUUGGACAUUUUUAUGCAUUAACUGAGAUUUCAAUGCAUUUAUGUGGAUAAUUCAAAUUUGAACUACAUGCACAUGCUCCAGUGCAUAUAAAUUGGUUGAAAAUAAAAUAUGUGUCCUUAUGUGCAUGCUUAGGUCCCCUGCAAGAAAUGGGAAUGAAUUUCAAACACCGGGGCACUGUUGAUUGCCGACAAAACAUUGAGAUGCUUGGUUUUUUAAUUCUAGUAAAUCCAAAACUCGUCUCAAAUUCAUGAAACUUGGCAUGCUAUCAUGGAGUGGCAUCAACAUGUUGUGGUAAAAAAAUUGUCCCAUUUGAGGCGGGUUUGGGUAUAUGCUUCUCACAAACUGGAGCUUCUCACAACAAGCAUGAUGGUUUCGGUAGGGAACGUCCCACCUUUGGGUUCCAAAUGAUAUCCAUUUCCUCUUAUUGCUUCCAAAAAAUUAUUCGUGUCAACAUAGAACAACAAGAGUGUUGUGUCAAUUUUUGUGAUUUUUUGGGGUUCGUUUGGACAUUUUUAUGCAUUAACUAAGUUUUCAAUCCAUAUAUGUGCAUAAUUCAAAUUUGAACUACAUGCACAUGCUCCAGUGCAUAUAAAUUGGUUGAAAAAUCAAAUUUGUAUCCUUGGGUGCAUGCCUAGGUCACAUGCAAGAAAUGGGAAUGAAUUUCAAACACCGGGGCACCGUUGAUUGCCGACAAAACAUUGAGAUACCUGGUUUUUAAAUUUUAGUAAAUCCAAAACUCAUCUGAAAUUCAUGAAACUUGGCAUGCUAUCAUGGAGCGGCAUCAACAUGUCGUGGUAAAAAAUUUGUCCCAUUUGGGGCAGGUUUGGGUAUAUGCUUCUCACAAACCAGAGCUUCUCACAACAAGCAUGAUGGUUUUGGUAGGGAACGUCCCACCUUUGGGGACAAAACGAUAUCCAUUGCCUCCUAUUGGUUUCAAUUUUUUCUCGUGUCAACAUAGAACAAUAGGGGUGUUGUGUCAAUUUUUGUGACUUUUCGGGGUUCGUUUGGACAUUUUUGUGCAGUAACUGAGUUUUCAAUGCAUUUAUGUGCAUAAUUCAAAUUUGAACUACAUGCACAUGCUCAAGUGCAUAUAAAUUGGUUGAAAAAUCAAAUAUGUGUCCUUAUGUGCAUGCUUAGGUCCCAUGCAAGAAAUGGGAAUGAAUUUCAAACACCAAGGCACUGUUGAUUGCUGGCAAAACAUUGAGAUGCCUGGUUUCUAAAUUCUAUUAAAUCCAAAACUCGUCCCGUGCGCAGGUUCACCAGGAAGCGUGCGAGAUGUUCAACACAGGAUUUGUGCAUCUCUUCAACGCAAAUGGUUCAGUGAAGCAGUAAAGCGGCAGAAAAUAAACCAAAAAAUAUAUGUGCUGCCACACGCCCCGUGUGCCGUGCGAUCAGGCGUGAGUUGACGGGACGCAUGCGAGCAGUCUGCCGCGCAGUCAUACCGGGAGGCGUGCGUGCAGGUGUGUGUAUUGACGGGGAGACAUGCGAGUAGCUGUGUGAAAUGAUGGUAGGAAUGGCAGACGUCCGCCGCGCGGGCUCACCGGGAGGCGAGACAACUUUUGACCGUAGCCUGCCUCGCUCCCACUGGUCCGUAUUAAUUGUGUACCCGAGCCACCGUCCAUAAUAGGCGGCCGCACCCCCGGUCCAUAGUGGUCACCGACGUCUAGACUCCGAAGUGUAUGACGAUGCCGCCGAAGUGCACCAUCGGAGGGAGUGGCGACGCCGGGGCUGGUGAAGCACCCGCACAACGCGUGAAGCUGGCCACAGAGGUUUCCGCCGCCGCCGACAAGGUCUCGCGCGGGCAACAACACGACCUUGAAUUCAUCGCUGCCGUCGUGCCCCCCCCAGCCGGAGCUGGAGGUCAACAGCAACUCCGGCAACAACUGCGACUCCGACGGAAAACCGGUUAGUCAUCUAUAUACCCAUUUGUGCGGCAAACAUAUGAAGUGUUUUCUCUGGUUAAUCCCCCCCCCACCCACCACCCUCUAUAAUUUUUUUGGAAUACAAAUCCUAUGGUUAUGUUCUCUCAGUCCAUGAAAUCAGAUCAAUUAAGAUUCGUUAGAUGCACGUAGUGUAUUGAUUGUUUGAAUGCUAUCUGUAUAGAGUUGGUGAUUAAUUGUUUGUUCUGUACAAAUGAUCUUUUUGCUAAUAAUUCGAUUAGGGUUAGCUUGCUUGCUAAUAAUUCAUGGCCAAAUCUUGAGAAUUGAUUUUGAAUGUCCUACAUAUAUGUUUGGACCCGGCUGAGCGGCCAGAAGCGCCCCCCUGGACCUGAGGAACCAGUAGAAUCUCCAGCAGACCGCAUCAGCGAUCUCUUAGACUGUCAGGACCCCGACUCAAUGCCACAUCGAUCUAGCAUGUAACACCUCAUAUCACUUUGCGGCCUCACGCACGGUAUUCCCACGGGUGUCGUCUUACCUUAGCCCGGGACCGUUUGCGCCUUUUGGCACACGUAUAUGAUAGUGUCGCUAGCAUCCAUAUGAUAAGGAGCCCGGGCUGACAUGGCUAGUCGUAAACCCAAAGUGGCACAGACUUACAGGGACAGGCAUCCAUGACCCAGCAUCGAACGUGUCGGUCAUCAGCGAGUGAAUCCAGGCUGUAGCACUGGGCUAGCAGGACUCCGGUGAACCGGGCUGUAGCAGGCUAACAGGACUCCGGUAUUUAUCGCGUGACAUUUCCCCGGAGGGACAGACACAGGAACGAAGAAGGACACAUGCCGGCCAGCCUAAGUGUUCCGGAGCAGUAGCAAGCUACCAUGGCUCGGUGGAAACACUAGGAGACAUUUCCCGGUAAGAGAGGCUACUAAGGAGAAACAACUAGAUGGUCAGAUCCCACACAUACCAAGCAUUUCAAUAACAUACACACAAUAUGCUCGAUAUGUGCAAAUACAACAUGGCAUCACAACAUGACUCUAUGACUCAAGUAAUUUAUCAAUAGGCUCCGAGGAGCGAGAUAUUACAAACAUGGGUCUUAUGACCCAACAAUCAGAGCAUACAAGUCAAAGCACAAGCGGAAGCUAUCAUGUCUGAGUACAGACAUCUAUAAAUGAAAAAGGCUGAGAAGCCUGACUAUCUAUCAGAUCCUGCCGAGGGCACAAGAUCGUAGCUGAGGUAUCAAGCUAAACGUCGAAGUCCAAGCGGAACUACUAGUGAGACUGAAGUCUCUCUGCAAAAACAUAAAAUAGGCAAACGUGAGUACAAAUGUACCCAGCAAGACUUACAUCAGAACUAACUACAUAUGCAUCAUUAUCAACAAGGGGGUGGAGGGGUUUGACUGCAGCAAGCCAGCUUUGACUCGGUGGCUAUCCUGAACUACGACUGCAAUGUAACUCUUUUGAGGUGGCGCACACGAGUCCACAUAUUCACCAUAUCAAUACACCACUAUGGAUCCGCUCCCGUCUCCCUACGAGAACGCCAUCCAUAGCACUCACGCUUAUCUUGCGUAUUUUAGAGUAUCCACUUUCACUUGUCUAUGAACUGAUAUAAGCAACCCAGAAGUCCUUUUCCGCGGACACGGCUAUUCGAAUAGAUGAUGAUAACCCUGCAGGGGUGUACUUCUUCAUACAUGUUUCCACCACUUAGCGUCUGCACACGACAUGUGCUCGGCAGACUUCAAGCGAAAGCCGACGUGGGUGUAGACCACGACCUACCUAAAUACUCAAGUCUCUAGUCCAGGUUUAUCGCCUAUUCGGGUUCCAUCCAUGAGGAGAUCCGGCCGGAGUUUCGCUCACAGCCCCAAACGAUGUGAACAGGGUUCCGUGACACCAAACGGGCGCCCGGUAUACCCGGCCACGUGCCUACCGCAUCACAGCCCACCCCUACGGUCAGCGCUGUCCACGGCCUCCAGCAUACUACAAACACCAGAAACUACUUGCAACUCCUGGACAGAGGACGAGGGUGAAUAAGAAGUCGAACGGGGUCAUAUUUCAGGGCCCAAUGUAUGGUAGUAGCUGAAUCAUGGAUCACAAACGCAGAACUCAGUUCCUGAGGACGGCUGCAAUGAGACAACCCACCAUGUACUCCUACAUGGCCUCUCACCACUACCUUUACCAAAUCGUGUUCACACACUUAGCUCACACACAGUAGGACAUGUUCACACGCCUCUGAUUCAUCCCGAUGAAUCAGACCUGACUCAACUCUAAGCAGUAGCAGGCAUGACAACAAGCAUGAAUGAGUAGGCACAACAGGGCUCAAACAACUCCUACUCAUGCUAGUGGGUUUCAUCUAUUUACUGUGGCAAUGACAGGUCAUGCAAAGGAUAAAGGGGUUCAGCUACCGCAGCAAGUAACAGAUGAAUCGGUGUUGUCCUAAUGCAGUAAAAGAGAGCAGGAGCGAGAGAGUAGGAUCGUAUCGGAAUGAACAAGGGGGUUUUGCUUGCCUGGCACUUCUGAAGAUAACAUUGAGUCUUCAUCAGUGUCAACGAUCACAUCAUCGGUAUCACGUCUAUCGAGAGGGGACAAAUACCGGCAACACAGAAGGAACACAAUCAAUGCAAUGCACAAUAUGAUGCAUGAUCAUGACAUGGCAAAAUGAAUGUGUUUUGAGCUAAUGCAACUAGCAACAGAUUAAAUGAAGUUGGUUUGAAUACAAGAUUCAAAUUCAAACUCCAUAUGUGAUUAUUCAAAUGCCAUUUAAUUGAUUUGUGCUAAACAGCACCUAUAAGUUGUUCUAACAUGCAUGAAAAUGGUACAGAUGGAUUCCUUGAAUUUUUCUGAUAAUUUUUCAUAUAUAAUUUAUUUAAUUUGGAGUUACGGUUGAAUUUCUAUGAAUUUUAGAAGUUUAUACAAUUUUCUGGAAUUUUCAGAAUUAAAUUAAAUCCAGAAAACAUUACUGCGUCAGCAUGACGUUGGCAUGACGUCAGCAGGGUCAACUGGGCGCCCCAGGUCAAACCUGACGUGUGGGGGCCACACGUCAGUGACACAGGAGCUAAUCCCGGUCAAACCCAGCGCUGACUGGGGUUUGACCAGGGGUGGGGCCCACUGUCAGUGGCCUAGGGGGUUGGUUAGUGCGUCAUUAGUGGCUAAUGACAGCGCCACGUCACUGGCCACCGGAGUUCGACCGGCGGCGACCCGAAACGCGGCGGAAGUUCACCGGGGUUGCGCUACGGGCGGCGGCUGGACGCGCGAAGGGCACCAGAAGGUAGCCCGUGCCCGUGCGCAUCUAGGGGGGCCAACGGGAGGUGCGCGGGGUGGCCGGGGUUCGCCGGAACGGAGCUCGCGGCGGCGCCGGAGUUCGGUGAGUGCGGGGUUGGCGCUGUGGCUUGCAAACGAGCUAGCUGCCACGCUAGCGUUACUCCANNNNNNNNNNNNNNNNNNNNNNNNNNNNNNNNNNNNNNNNNNNNNNNNNNNNNNNNNNNNNNNNNNNNNNNNNNNNNNNNNNNNNNNNNNNNNNNNNNNNNNNNNNNNNNNNNNNNNNNNNGGGUCGUUGCGAGUGCAACGGACGCACGCGCGGGGCCAUUUGGUCACCGGGGCUUCGCCGGCGACGAGCCCGCGCGGCGACGGCUACGGUAAGCAAGGGGGCGGCGGCUACGGCAAGCAAACGAAGGCGGGAUUAAGGGGAAGAGGACCGGGGGCUCACCACGGUCACGAAGAGAUGCUCGGCGAGGUCGGGGACGGUCCGGAGCCGGCGAAUUUGACGAAGAUGGCCGGCGGGUCCGAGGUAGAAGACGACGGCGAUGGCGGUGAUGCAGGGAUUCCGGAGGGCUGUGGAUCGGUGGGGAGGAAGAGGGGGUCGAGGCGGAGCUCUCGAGCACGCUGGAUGGGCGAGGGAGGGCUGGUGGCCACGGUGGUUGCGAGCGACGUCGGCGGCGGCUUUCGGUCAUGGGGGGAGAAGCAGAGGAGCAAGGGGGAGGGAGGUCCAGAGAGCGAGGGAGAAGUGAGAGGGGGUCGGGGAGGCGCGUGGCGUCACCAGAGGGCUCGGGGAGGAAGCAGGAGGUGGCCAGAGCCGGGUGGAGGUGGCGCGCACGGCGGCGUCGCGGUGUCCGCGUCCUUCUGGCGAGGAGGAAGACGACAGGGGAGUAGCGGUGGCGGGCUGGGCCGUGCUGCUGGGCCAGGUGGGCUACCAGGUGAGCGCCAGGUAAGGUUUCUCUCCUCUCUUUUAUUUCUAUUCUGUUUUAUAUUUUUCUAUUUCUGCAAUUUGUUUUUGAUUUGUUUUAAAAUAUCAAAUCAUUUUAUAAAAUCCUGGAAAUAAUUAUGGGUACUUUCUGAAUUAUUUCAGUGACCCUUAUCAAUUUCCAACAUUUAUUUGAGCAUUUAAAUUAUUUAUAGUAUUUAAAUGCCCAAAGUCAAAUACAAUAUGAUUUAAUUCAAAAAUCCAAAAAUGACCUAAGAAUAUAAUCAUCAUUUUUGGCAGAGGUUUCCACCUUAACCAGAAAUCAUGAACUUUUCUUAGGAACCUUUUGGGUUUAUUGAAAAGAUUUUAAUUCACCCUAGUUGAGUUGAUUUAAUGCUAGGGUUUGAACAUCCCCAUUUCAAUUUUAGGCAAAAUUUAAACAUGAUGCAAACAUGAAGCUAGACUAGAGCACUACCAGCAGCUAGGGAUGUGACAUAGACGGAAUCCUUGGGGAGAUCAUCUCCCUUCUCCCCACCAAGGUGGUUGCCGCACACAAGUCCUCGCAUCUCGGUGGCGCACUCUGUGGUGCACCGCGCCUCUUAAUCUCGACUGUCGUCAGCUAUAUGUCGAUGAUGAUUCUGAACUCCCCGGAGCCAUCAUCUCCUCCCACGAGGGCUCCGUUCAACGCAUCUGCAUCCCGACUUGCUACCUGCUGGACAUACCCUGCAUGGUGGCCGCCUGGCUGACAUCCCGUCAACUCGAUAAACUCCAGCAGCUUGAGUUCUACCAUUACAGUGAUAGGUUACCACCAAGAGCUGCAUAUGUGCCCUCACCGCCGAUGCCCAUCUCAUGGUUUUCCUCCUCUCUCCACACCGCCACCUUAACCCGGUGCCAUCUAGCAAACUAUCUGGUACAAAUGCUUCAACUACCAGUGCUGAAAAAACUUGUGCUUGUGUUGGUUGAUCUAUCGAUGGCCUCACUUCACAGCAUCAUCCACUCUAGCUGCUCUGCACUGCAGCGUUUGGUGCUUGUUUUUGGAAUAGGAAUCCAUAUCCCUUGUCUCAAAAUAAAGUUGUCUCACCUUGUAAGCAAUGGAAUUCAUUUUGAAGGACAGGAUCUCAUCAUCGAAGAUGCCCCUUCACUUCAAAGGUUGCUCCUUAAUUGUUGUUAUAAACCUUCACAAAUAAUUGUGGUCUCUGCGCCUAAACUAGAGACCUUGGGUGCAAUUAUUGAUCCGUUUGAAUGGUUCAAGAUGGUGUUUGCCUCCACACCUAUUGAGGUACUAUAUAUUAUUAAUGUACACUUUUGUAAUUUGCAUUUUUCAUUUGUGCGCAUAAGUUAAGUAUCAUCUUGGAGUACAUUUUCAGUGCUAAUAUUAUGUUCUAUGCUCAAUGAAGCGCUUAUCCAUCCUAUCAGUGGUGGUGGAUUCUGUCAAGACCUUAUAUAUCACUAUAUGGUGUUUUGAUCUCAACAUCAUUAUUGCCUUGCUGCAAUGCUUUCCAUGUCUGGAGAAUUUGUAUAUGAAGGUGAUGAUUUCACGCACAUUGAAAGCCCAUAUAUAAUGUACUAUAAUUAAUCGUUCAGCUAUCACUCUUUCAACAUAAUCUUUUUAAACAUUAAUUGUUUUCAAUCUUCAUCUCUAUUUAGGAACUAACACAUGGAGAAAAAGGUAUAACCAAUCGGUGGUUCAAGAAGCACCGGGAUUUUCUCAGAUCUCACGACAUUCGUUUGAAGACAGUAACACUGGAAGGAUAUGCAUCCAACAAUGCAAACACUAGCUCUGUCACAUUCUUCAUGUUGAAUGCGAGGGCACUAUUGUCCGUGAGGAUUAAGUUUUUCAACAAGAAAUUUCUUACGGCUGCAGGUGUUGAACAUCAUAAAAAGAAGUUUCAUGUGGAUGAUGACCCACAAGUAUAGGGGAUCUAUCGUAGUCCUUUCGAUAAGUAAGAGUGUCGAACCCAACGAGGAACAGAAGGAAAUGGUAAGCGGUUUCCAGCGAGGUAUUCUCUACAAGUACUGAAAUAAGUGGUAACAGAUAGUUUUGUGAUAGGAUAAUUUGUAACGCGCAACAAGUAACAAAAGUAAAUAAAGUGCAGCAAGGUGGCCCAAUCCUUUUUGUAGCAAAGGACAAGCCUGGACAAACUCUUAUAUAGAGAAAAGCCCUCCCGAGGACACAUGGGAAUAUCGUCAAGCUAGUUUUCAUCACGCUCAUAUGAUUCGCGUUCGGUACUUUGAUAAUUUGGUAUGUGGGUGGACCGGUGCUUGGGUACUGCCCUUACUUGGACAAGCAUCCCACUUAUGAUUAACCUCUAUUGCAAGCAUCCGCAACUACAACAAAAGUAUUAAGGUAAACCUAACCAUAGCAUGAAACAUAUGGAUCCAAAUCAGCCCCUUAUGAAGCAACGCAUAAACUAGGGUUUAAGCUUCUGUCACUCUAGCAACCCAUCAUCUACUUAUUACUUCACAAUGCCUUCCUCUAGGCCCAAAUAAUGGUGAAGUGUCAUGUAGUCGACGUUCACAUAACACCACUAGAGGAGAGACAACAUACAUCUCAUCAAAAAAUCGAACGAAUACAAAAUUCACAUGACUACUAAUAGCGAGACUUCUCCCAUGUCCUCAGGAACAAAAGUAACUACUCACAAAGCAUAAACAUGUUCAUAAUCAGAGGGGUAUUAAUAUGCAUAUAGGAUCUGAACAUAUGAUCUUCCACCAAUUAAAACCAACUAGCAUCAACUACAAGGAGUAAUUAACACUACCAGCAACCUACUAGCACCAAUCCCGGACUUGGAGACAAGAAUUGGAUACAAGAGAUGAACUAGGGUUUUGAGAGGAGAUGGUGCUGAUGAAGAUGUUGAUGGAGAUUGCCCUCUCCCGAUGAGAGGAGCAUUGGUGAUGACGAUGGCGAUGAUUUCCCUCUCCGGGAGGGAAGUUUCCCCGGUAGAACAGCUCCGCCAAAGCCUUAGAUUGGUUCCGCCAAGGUUCGGCCUCGUGGCGACGGAGUUUCAUCCGAGAAGAUGGCUUAUUAUUUUUUUCCCAUUAAAAGACUCCAUAUAGCAGAAGAUGGCCACCGUAGGGCCACCAGGGGGCCCACGAGGUAGGGGACGCGCCUAGGGGGUAGGGCGCGCCCCCCACCCUCGUGGGCAGGGUGUGGCCCCCCUGGUGAAGUUCUUGCUCUCAGUAUUUUUUAUAUAUUUGGAAAACGUCUUCCGCGAAGUUUCAGGACUUUUGGAGCUGUGCAGAAUCGAUCUCUAAUAUUUGCUCCUUUUCCAGCCCAGAAUCCCAGCUGCCGGCAUUCUCCCUCUUUAUGUAAACCUUGUAAAAUAAGAGAGAAUAGGCAUAAGUAUUGUGACAUAAUGUGUAAUAACAGCCCAUAAUGCAAUAAAUAUCGAUAUAAAAGCAUGAUGCAAAAUGGACGUAUCAACUCCCCCAAGCUUAGACCUCGCUUGUCCUCAAGCGAAAAGCCGAAAUCGAAAAAUAUGUCCACAUGUUUAGAGAUAGAGGUGUCGAUAAAAAUAAAAUACGGACAUGAGGGCAUCAUGAUCAUUCUUAGAACAGCAACUUAUAUAAUUCUUGCCAUAUGAUUUCUUAUGCUAGAGUAAUAAUUCAAUCACAAUCUCAAGUAUGAAUAGUAAACUUCAUUGAAAACUAACAAACUAUAAUCUCAGUCAUUGGAGCAAUUGCAAUUUAUCAUAACAUAGGAAAGAGUCAAUGUAUAAGAGCUUUUCAACAAGUCCACAUACUCAACUAUCAUAUAGUCUUUCACAAUUGCUGACACUCACGCAAUACUUAUGGGUAUGGAGUUUUAAUCGGACACAGAGAAAGAUAGGGGCUUAUAGUUUUGCCUCCCAACGUUUUACCUCAAGGGUAAUGUCAACAGUAAUAGUUCAUGAAAACUCACAUCCAAUUAGCCAUAUAUACCAGGAUCUUUCCAACAUACCGUGCUUGCCAAAGGAUAAAAUGUAAAAAGGAAGGGUGAAGAUCACCAUGACUCUUAUGCAAUGUAGGAGAUAAAAGUAAAAGAUAGGCCCUUCGCAGAGGGAAGCAAAGGUUGUCAUGUGCUUUUAUGGUUGGAUGCACAAAGUCUUAAUGCGAAAGAACGCCACUUUAUAUUGCCACUUGUGAUAUGGACCUUUAUUAUGCAGUCUGUCACUUUUAUUUCUUCCAUAUCACACGAUCGUAUCAAGCUUAUUUUUUCCCACACUAAUAAGUCAUACAUAUUUAGAGGACUAUUUUUAUUGCUUGCACCGAUGACAACUUACUUAGAGGAUCUUACUCAAUCCAUAGGUAGGUAUGGUGGACUCUUAUGGCAAAACUGGUUUAAGGGUAUUUGGAAGCACAAGUAGUAUUUCUACUUGGUGCAAUGAAUUUGGCUAGCAUGAGGGGGAAAAGCAAGCUCAACAUGUUGGAGGAUCCAAGACAAUAUAAUUUAUUUCAGAUGUAAGAAAACAUAACCCAUUACAUUGUCUUCCUUGUCCAAUGUCAACUCUUUAGCAUGUCAUAUUUUCAUGAGUGCUCACAACCAUAAAAGAUGUCCAAGAUAGUAUAUUUAUAUGUGAAGACCUCUCUUUCUUUAUUACUUCCUAUUAAUUGCAACGAUGACAAAAACUAUGUUUGUCAACCCUCAACAACUUUUAUUCAUCAUACUCUUCCUAUGUGAGCUCAUUACUAUCCAUAAGACUCACAUGAUCUCUUUGUUUCUUUUUAUUUCUUUCUCUUUUCUUUUAUUUCUUUAGGAUCACGGCAAAAUAAUCAAGCCCUUGACUCAACACUAAUCUUUAUUAUAUAGCUCACGGACUCGAUUACAUAGAAGGAUUAUAAAGCAAAACUCACAACUAGAUCAUACUAAGAACUUUAUUCUACUAGAUCAAGAUAUUACCAAAAGGAUCGAACUAAGAAAAACGGUAAAGAUAAAAGUGAUGGUGAUACGAUACCGGGGCACUCCCCCAAGCUUGGCAGUUGCCAAGUGGAGUUCCCAUACCAGAUACUCAAUUCUUCUUUGUUGGUGGAUAAGGUGGAGUUGUUGAUGCUGGAUAGUCGCACAUCGAGCGUAGGAGCUCUUCUAACUUGCGGAUAAUGCCUUUGAGUGCGAUGAUAUGCUCCUUCAACAGAAUAUUUUCACGUGUGAGAUACUUAUUUUGUAUACGAGCUAACUCAAUCAUCUUGAAAGAUUUGAUCUCAGUUGGGGUAGGAAGAUUGUGAUCAAGUUGAAGGAUGUCUUCUGUUGCCGGAGCUUGGUCCUCCAUGGCUUUCUUGAUCCCUUCAUCCUUGUUGAUAUCCAUGGGUUCAUCCCUCUUCAGCUCUAUCUUCAUUAGCCAAGCAUCGUUGCCCUCAUGGUUGGAGGAGGAGGGAGACGACAUAGUACCUAGCCUUGACAAUCCUGACAGAAAACAGCUCGAAACAAAGACAAGAGAUUUUUGCGUGAUACGGGAGUCAAAACCCCCGGGAGAUUAUAUAAUGAAUUUUUACCGACCAAAAUAUGUGUCGUGUACGAAAACGAAGUCCGGAGAGCACACGAGGUGCCCACGAGGUAGGGGGCGCACCAAGUAGGGUAGGGCGCGCCCUCCACCCUCGUGGAGGCCUCGUGUCCUUCCCAGACUGCUUCUUAUUUUUCUAUUUUUCUAAAUAUUCCAAAACGGAGAAAUAUUCCUUAAAACUAUUUUGGAGUCGGUUUACUUACCGUACCACAUACCUAUUCCUUUUCGGAGUCUGAAAUGUUCCGAAAAGUGUCCCUUAUGUAUUCCUCCAGGGUUACGGUUUCAAUAACAUUGGUUUCAACAUUUAUGGGAUUACCUGAGAUAUAGUGUUUGAUUAUUUUACCGUUCACCACCUUCGGAUUUGUUCCUUCGAAGUUGUUGAUUUUUAUGGCACCGGAACGAUAGACCUCCUCGAUAACGUAAGGACCUUCCCAUUUAGAGAGAAGUUUUCCUGCAAAAAAUCUUAAACGAGAGUUGUAUAGCAAUACAUAAUCACCUACAUUAAACUCACGCUUUUGUAUCCUUUUAUCAUGCCAUCUUUUAACUUUUUCUUUAAACAACUUGGCAUUUUCAUAGGCUUGGUUUCUCCAUUCAUCAAGUGAGCUAAUAUCAAAUAACAUCUUCUCAUCAGCAAGUUUAAAAUCAUAAUUGAGUUCUUUAAUAGCCCAAUAUGCCUUGUGUUCUAGUUCGAGAGGUAAGUGACAUGCUUUUCCAUAUACCGUUUUAUACGGAGACAUACCCAUAGGAUUUUUAUAUGCAGUUCUAUAGGCCCAUAAUGCAUCAUCAAGUUUCUUGGACCAAUUCUUUCUAGACCUAUUGAUAGUCUUUUGCAAAAUUAAUUCAAGCUCUCUAUUACUCAAUUCUACUUGACCACUAGACUGUGGGUGAUAAGGAGAUGCAAUUCUAUGAUUAACAUCAUAUUUAGCAAGCAUUUUACGGAAAGCACCAUGAAUAAAAUGUGAACCACCAUCAGUCAUUAAAUAUCUAGGGACUCCAAAUCUUGGAAAAACAAGUUCUUUAAGCAUUUUAAUAGAAGUGUUAUGAUCAGAACUACUAGUUGGAAUAGCUUCUACCCACUUAGUAACGUAAUCAACAGCAACUAAAAUAUGUGUAUAUCCAUUAGAGGAAGGAAUGGUCCCAUAUAGUCAAAGCCCCAAACAUCAACUGGUUCAAUAACGAGUGAACAAUUCAUAGGCAUUUCUUGACGUCUACUAAUAUUACCAAUUCUUUAACAUUCAUCACAAGAUAAGACAAACUUACGGGCAUCCUUGAAGAGAGUAGGCCAAUAAAAACCAGAUUGCAAUACCUUAUGUGCAGUCCUAUCUCCAGCAUGGUGUCCUCCAUAAGCUUCGGAGUGACACUUGCGUAGGAUAUGUUCCUGUUCAUGCUCAGGUACACAACGUCUAAUAACACCAUCUACUCCUUCUUUAUAAAGAUGUGGGUCAUCCCAAAAGUAAUGCCUCAAAUCAUAGAAGAACUUUUUCUUUUGCUGGUAUGUGAAACUAGGUGGUAUAAACUUAGCAACAAUGUAAUUAGCAUAAUCAACAUACCAUGGAGCAGUAUGAGAAGCAUUUAUAACAUUUAAUUGCUCAUCAGGAAAGCUAUCAUCAAUAGGUAGUGGGUCAUCAAGCACAUUUUCUAACCUAGAGAAGUUGUCUGCAAGGGGGUUCUCAGCUCCCUUUCUAUCAACAAUAUGUAAGUCAAAUUCUUGUAGCAAGAGAACCCAUCUAAUAAGUCUAGGUUUAGCAUCUUUCUUUUCCAUAAGAUAUUUAAUAGCAGCAUGAUCAGUGUGAAUAUUUACUUUAGAAGCAACAAUAUAAGGUCUAAACUUAUCACAAGCAAAUACAACUGCUAAGAAUUCCUUUUCAGUAGUAGCAUAAUUUCUUUGAGUAUUGUCUAGGGUUUUACUAGCAUAUUGAAUAACAUUUAAUUUCUAAUCAACUCUUUGUCCUAGAACAACACCUACAGCAUAAUCACUAGCAUCGCACAUAAUUUCAAAGGGUAAAUUCCAAUCAGGUGGCUGAACAAUAGGUGAAGAGAUCAAUGCUUUCUUAAGUAUUUCAAAUGCUUCUACACAAUCAUCAUCAAAAAAUGGUAUAUCUUUAUGUAAUAAAUUAGUCAGAGGCCGAGAAAUUUUUGAGAAGUCCUUAAUGAACCUCCUAUAAAAUCCGGCAUGGCCAAGGAAACUUCUUAUACCUUUGAUGUCCUUGGGACAUGGCAUCUUCUCAAUAGCAUCAACUUUGGCUUUAUCAACUUCAAUACCUCUUUCAGAAACUUUAUGCCCCAAGACAAUACCUUCAUUAACCAUAAAGUGGCACUUUUCCCAAUUCAAGACAAGAUUAGUUUCUUCACAUCUCUACAAAACUCGAUCAAGGUUGCUCAAGCAAUCAUCAAAAGAAAAUCCAUAGACGGAAAAGUCGUCCAUGAAAACCUCACAAAUCUUUUCACAAAAGUCAGAGAAUAUAGCCAUCAUGCAUCUUUGAAAGGUAGCAGGUGCAUUACAUAAACCAAAAGGCAUAUGUCUAUAAGCAAAAGUACCAAAAGGGCAUGUAAAAGUAGUCUUUGAUUGAUCUUUGGCUGACACAGGUAUUUGAGAGAAACCAGAAUAACCAUCUAGAAAGAAAAAAUGUGUAUGUUUGGAUAAUCUUUCUAGCAUUUGAUCGAUAAAAGGUAAGGGGUAAUGAUCCUUUUUAGUAGCCUUAUUUAGUUUGCGGAAGUCAAUUACCAUCCUAUAACCUGUAAUAAUCCUUUGAGGGGUCAAUUCAUCUUUAUCAUUAGGAACAACAGUAAUACCUCCCUUCUUAGGGACACAAUGGACAGGGCUUACCCACUGACUAUCAGCAACGGGAUAGAUUAUACCUGCCUCAAGGAGCUUUAGUAUUUCCUUUCUUACCACUUCUUUCAUUUUAGGAUUCAGCCGACGUUGAUGAUCACGAACUGGUUUAGCAUCUUCUUCCAAAUUAAUUUUAUGUUGACAUAGAGUGGGACUAAUGCCCUUAAGAUCAUCAAGAGUAUACCCAAUAGCAGCACGAUGCUUCUUCAGAGUUUUCAAUAAUCUCUCUUCCUCAUGCUCUGAAAGGUUAGCACUAAUAAUAACAGGAUAUAUCUUUUUCUCAUCAAGAUAAGCAUAUUUAAGAGUAUCAGCUAACGGUUUAAGCUCAAACAUGGGAUCACCCUUGGGUGGAGGAGGAUCCCCUAGGAUUUCAACAGGUAAAUUGUUUUUCAGAAUAGGUUCCUGUUUAAAGAAUACUUCAUCUAAUUCCCUUCUUUCAUUCAUAAACAUAUCAUUUUCAUGGUCUAGCAAAUAUUGUUCUAGAGGAUCACUAGGAGGUACGGCAAUAGAAGCAAGACCAAUAAUUUCAUCCUUACUAGGUAAUUCUUCUUCACAGUGUUGUCUACUAAAUUUAGAUAAAUUAAAUUCAUGAGUCAUAUCAUCUAAACCGAUAGUAACAACAUCUCUUUUGCAAUCUAUAGUAGCAUUAACAGUGUUCAAGAAGGGUCUACCAAAUAUAAUGGCACAAAAGCUAUCUUGUAGGGAACCAAGAACAAGAAAAUUGGCAGGAUAUUUAGUUUUCCCACAUAAGACUUCAACAUCUCUAACAAUUCCCAUUGGUGAAAUAGUAUCUCUAUUGGCAAGUUUAAUUGUGACAUCAAUAUCUUCUAACUCAACAGGUGCAAUAUCAUGCAUGAUUUCUCUAUAAAGGCUAAUAGGUAUUGCAUUAGCACUAGCACCCAUAUCACAUAAGCCAUGAUAACAAUGAUCUCCUAUUUUAACAGAAAUAACAAGCAUGCCUACCACAUGUCUAGGUUUAUCUUUAGCACAGGGUUUAGCAAUUCUAGCAGUUUCAUCACAGAAAUAAAUAACAUGCCCAUCAAUAUUAUCAGACAAGAGAUCUUUAAAAAUAGCAAUAUUAGGUUCAACUUUAACUUGCUCAGGAGGUGUAUAUGUUUUAAUAUUGCUUUUACAAACUACAGUUGAAGCUUUAGCAUGAUCCUUUAUCCUAAUAGGGAAAGGUGGUUUCUCAACAUAAGAAGUAGGAACAAUAGGAUCAUUAUAAGUGACAAUCUUUUCUUCAACUUUAAUAGGUGAAGCUACUUUUACUUCUAUGGGAGGAUGAUAUUUAAACCACAUCUCCUUGGGGAGAUCAACAUAAGUAGCAAAAGAUUCACAGAAAGAAGCUACUAUCUCAGAGUCAAGUCCAUAUUUAGUGCUAAAUUUACGAAAAAUAUCGGUAUCCAUAAAAGAUUUAACACAAUCAAAACUAGGUGGCAUACCUGACUCCUUACCAUUGUCGAGGUCCCAAUCUUGCGUUUAAUUCUUUCCAAUAAAUCCCAUUUGAAUUCAAUAGUCUUCAUCAUAAAAGAGCCAACACAAGAAGUAUCAAGCAUGGUGUGAUUGUUAUCAGAAAGUCGAGCAUAAAAUUUUUGAAUAAUCAUUUCUCUUGAGAGCUCAUGAUUGGGGCAUGAAUAUAACAUUGAUUUCAGCGUCCCCAAGCUUGAGCGAUGCUUUCUCCUUCGCGAGCCAAAAAUUAUAUAUGUAAUUGCGAUCACGAUGAACAAGAUGCAUAGGAUAAAACUUCUGAUGAAAUUCCAAUUUCAAUCGUUUGUAAUUCCAAGACCCCAUAUCAUCACAUAGCCUAUACCAUGUCGAUGCGUCUCACUUCAAAGAUAAAGGGAAGACCUUCUUCUUAACAACAUCUCCGGGUACACCUGCAAGCUUAAAUAAUCCACAAACUUCAUCCACAUAUAUUAGAUGCUCAUCAGGAUGUUUUGUUCCAUCUCCUAAAAAAGGAUUAGCUGGCAGUUUUUCUAUCAUAUCCGAAGGAAUUUCAAAGCAGGCAUUUUCAUUUUCAUUUUCAGUAGGUUGAGUAGGUUGAGGAGCAACUCUUUGCUCUACUGGUCGGGGUGAAGAUACCCCGAACAAGCCCCUCAGAGGAUUACUUUCCAUAGUAACAAGUGACAGUAAAUUUCAGCACACUAUAUAAAUUUUUCCUUACCAAAUUCCACCUACCAAAGGCGCUUCACUCCCUGGUAACGGCGCCAGAAAAGAGUCUUGAUAACCCACAAGUAUAGGGGAUCUAUCGUAGUCCUUUCGAUAAGUAAGAGUGUCGAACCCAACGAGGAGCAGAAGGAAAUGAUAAGCGGUUUCCAGCAAGGUAUUCUCUGCAAGUACUGAAAUAAGUGGUAACAGAUAGUUUUGUGAUAGGAUAAUUUGUAACAAGCAACAAGUAACAAAAGUAAAUAAAGUGCAGCAAGGUGUCCCAAUCCUUUUUGUAGCAAAGGACAAGCCUGGACAAACUCUUAUAUAGAGAAAAGCGCUCUCGAGGACACAUGGGAAUAUCAUCAAGCUAGUUUUCAUCACGCUCAUAUGAUUCGCGUUCGGUACUUUGAUAAUUUGGUAUGUGGGUGGACCGGUGCUUGGGUACUGCCCUUACUUGGACAAGCAUCCCACUUAUGAUUAAGCUCUAUUGCAAGCAUCCGCAACUACAACAAAAGUAUUAAGGUAAACCUAACCAUAGCAUGAAACAUAUGGAUCCAAAUCAGGCCCUUACGAAGCAACGCAUAAACUAGGGUUUAAGCUUCUGUCACUCUAGCAACCCAUCAUCUACUUAUUACUUCCCAAUGCCUUCCUCUAGGCCCAAAUAAUGGUGAAGUGUCAUGUAGUCGACGUUCACAUAACACCACUAGAGGAGAGACAACAUACAUCUCAUCAAAAUAUCAAACGAAUACCAAAUUUACAUGACUGCUAAUAGCAAGACUUCUCCCAUGUCCUCAGGAACAAAAGUAACUACUCACAAAGCAUAAACAUGUUCAUAAUCAGAGGGGUAUUAAUAUGCAUAUAGGAUCUGAACAUAUGAUCUUCCACCAAAUAAACCAACUAGCAUCAACUACAAGGAGUAAUUAACACUACUAGCAACCUACUAGCACCAAUCCCGGACUUGGAGACAAGAAUUGGAUACAAGAGAUGAACUAGGGUUUUGAGAGGAGAUGGUGCUGAUGAAGAUGUUGAUGGAGAUUGCCCUCUCCCGAUGAGAGGAGCAUUGGUGAUGACGAUGGCGAUGAUUUCCCCCUCCGGGAGGGAAGUUUCCCCGGCAGAACAGCUUUGCCAGAGCCCUAGAUUGGUUCCGCCAAGGUUCCGCAUCGUGGCGGCGGAGUUUCGUCUGAGAAGAUGGCUUAUUAUUUUUUUCCCAUCGAAAGACUCUAUAUAGCAGAAGAUGGCCGCCGGAGGGCCACCAGGGGGCCCACGAGGUAGGGGGCGCGCCCCCACCCUCAUGGGCAGGGUGUGGCCCCCCUGGUGAAGUUCUUGCUCUCAGUAUUUUUUAUAUAUUUGGAAAACGUCUUCCGUGAAGUUUCAGGACUUUUGGAGCUGUGCAGAAUCGGUAUGUAAUAUUUGCUCCUUUUCCAGCCCAGAAUCCAAGUUGCCGGCAUUCUCCCUCUUUAUGUAAACCUUGUAAAAUAAGAGAGAAUAGGCAUAAGUAUUGUGACAUAAUGUGUAAUAACAGCCCAUAAUGCAAUAAAUAUCGAUAUAAAAGCAUGAUGCAAAAUGGACGUAUCAGUGGACCUAAGGGCUUCUGAUCGUUCUCGGCUUCUAUUUUCAACAGCUUGUCAUCAUGGACCAGUAGAAUUUCUGGCCGUUGAUCUUGAUUUUAUGGAUCAGAUCGAUCCAUUUGAUUGUGACUGCCGAAAACUUUGGUUGAGUUAGAUGUCAUUGUCUUGUUCAAUCUGAAUUUUUUCUAAACCUGAUGAGCAAUUAAUCCUCGUGAUUUUGUACUGUUUGUCAACUGGAGUUUGAUAUUGUUGCCCUUUUCAACUCGGCUUUGACCCAUAUUUUCUUUCAUACUUGGCCAAUGGCUUCCCAUUUCUUUAAUUAAGACAUAAAUACUAUAAGCAUUCACAACAUAGGCAAAGAACAUCACUCUUGUGGGAUCCUUGAGAUCUUUGUUCAUUACAGAACCGCAAGUUUUUAGUGCCCACCAGCACCCACAAACUUAUUUUCUGCUUGCACACCAAGGGUUGUAAUUCUUAAUAAGAAAAGUUGCAUGGUAGUCACAGAUUUGGAUUUAUCAUUUGGGACCCAUGAGGAAAACGCCUAUCCAGGGCGGUGCCGACUCGACAGUAAACAUUGAGAAACCUGGUUAUAAAAUUAGUGUAAAUCCAAAACUCGCCUCAAAAUGAUGAAACUUGGUGGUGUUAUGUCAUAGCACCAACAUGUUGUGGUAAAAAUUUAGUCCAAUUUGGGACAAGUUUUGGUACAAUCUUCUUACAAAUCGGAGCUUCUCUCAAAAAGGCUCAUGGUUCCGAGAGGGACCUUGUCAACUAUGUGUGCGAAACGACAUAGGAUGUCUCUUCCCACCUUGAUUUAUUUUACAAAGGCAACAUGCAAAUAUAUAUAGUAGCGUCGUCCUAAAAAUAUGAAAUUAAUCAUGGUUCGUUUUGCCUUUUUAUACAUUAUUUGAGUUUCAUAGGCAUUUUGGAACGUACUUUCGUGUGUGCAAAGGUCAUAUGUGUACUAGCCACAUAUGUAAUUCGAUGUUCAAUCUGUUUAUGGAAUCAAGUCCUUAUACAUGUUAUUCUUCUGUAGACAGAGCAAAUCACACGGCUUAUUAGCAACAAUCGUCUAUGUUAUUGGUCUUCGCACACAUUUCUGAUUACGGACAUGUUUGCCGCGUAUCACACACAUCUUGUUCAGUUGAACCGUUUCCAUUGUAUUUCUUGAUCACACACAGUCCAUCCUAGUGAACCAUAUGUUGUAUAUCUCACACACCUUCAUCAGGCUGGCCGUUUCUUUUGUUCCUCAUCAUCGCAAACAGUUAAUUGAAUUGAACUGUAUGCCCUGCAUCGCACAUGCAACUAAAAUCUGAACCGUGUUUGAUGCAUCCUCCAUCGCAAACGUUUUGCACCUAUUUGACGGUUUUUUACACCACCGUUUGUGAUUAUUGCAUCGCACACAGUUUCGUUGAAGGGUCUCUGAUCAUAGUGUCGCGUUAGCAGCAUCCUGCAGUAGUGCAACUCCUGUUCGGUAAGAAAGCAACCCACAUUAGGGCCUCUUUGAUUUGCAGGAUUCUCAAAACACGGGAACAUGAAAGGGGACUGGCUAGGGGUAAGUUGACUGAAAAUUAAAAUUGGGUCAGUCGAUCUAUUUCUAACCGUUGGAUGCGAAAUGAACAGCCAGAUUGUUUUCUUCAACUUCCUGCAUCAUAUACUGUUCAUCUUCUUCCCUAAAACCUGAAACCGCCACACGUAUCGCGGGCCUCUGCCACCCUGCUACCUCUUGAGCACUGCGUUGGAUUUCCCCGAAGAGGAAGGGAUGAUGCAGCAAAGUAGCAUAAGUAUUUCCCUCAGUUUUUGAGAACCAAGGUAUCAAUCCAGUAGGAGGCUAUGCUCGAGUCCCUCGUACCUACACAAAAACAAUAGCUCAACGCAACCAACGCGCUUAGGGGUUGUCAAUCCCUUCACUGUCACUUACGAAAGUGAGAUCUGAUAGAGAUGAUAAAUAAUAUUUUUGGUAUUUUUGGUAUAGAGAUGCAAAGUAAAUAAAGUAAAAGCAAAGCAAUAAUAAAGUGAUGAAUAUUGAUAUGAUGAGAAAGAGACCCGGGGGCCAUAGGUUUCACUAGUGGCUUCUCUCAAGAGCAUAAGUAUUCUACGGUGGGUGAACAAAUUACUGUUGAGCAAUUGACAAAAUUGAGCAUAGUUAUGAGAAUAUCUAGGUAUGAUCAUGUAUAUAGGCAUCAUGUCCGAAACAAGUAGACCGAAACGAUUCUGCAUCUACUACUAUCACUCCACUCAUCGACCUCUAUCCAGCAUGCAUCCAGAGUAUUAAGUUAAAAACAGAGUAACGCCUUAAGCAAGAUGACAUGAUGUAGAGGGAUAGUUUCAUGCAAUAUGAUAAAAAAAACAUCUUGUUAUCCUUGAUGGCAAUGAUACAAUACAUGCCUUGCUGCCCCUUCUGUCACUGGGAAAGGACACCGCAACAUUGAACCCAAAGCUAAGCACUUCUCCCAUUGCAAGAACAACCAAUCUAGUAGGCCAAACCAAACUGAUCGAAGAGACUUGCAAAGAUAACCAAUCAUACAUAAAAGAAUUCAGAGAAGAUUAAAAUUUUAUUCAUAGAUAGACUUGAUCAUAAACCCAGAAUUCAUCGAUCUCAACAAACACACCGCAAAAAAGAAGAUUACAUCGAAUAGAUCUCCACGAGAGAGGGGGAGAACAUUGUAUUGAGAUCCAAAAAUAGAGAAGAAGCCAUCUAGCUACUAGCUAUGGACCCGUAGGUCUGAAGUAAAUUACUCACACUUCAUCGGAGAGGCUUGGAUGAUGAUGUAGAAGCCCUCCGUGAUCGAUGCCCCCUCCGGCGGAGCUCCGGAACAGGCCCCAAGAUGGGAUCUCGUGGAUACAGAAAGUUGCGGCGGUGGAAUUAGGUUUUUGGCUCCAUCCCCGGUCGUUUGGGGGUACCUGGAUAUAUAUAGGAGGAAGAAGUACGUCGAUGGAGCUUCGAGGGGCCCACGAGGCAGGGGGGGGCGCCCUCCACCCUCGUGACCACAUCGUGGCUUUCUUGACGGAGGGUCCAAGUCUCCUGGAUCUUAUCUGAUGAGAAAAUCACGUUUCCGAAGGUUUCAUUCCGUUUGGACUCCGUUUGAUAUUCCUUUUCUCCGAACCCCUAAAACAGGCAAAAAACAGCAAUUCUGGGUUGGGCCUCCGGUUAAUAGGUUAGUCCCAAAAAUAAUAUAAAAGUGGAUAUUAAAGCCCAAUAAUGUCUAAAACAGUAGAUAAUAUAGCAUGGAGCAAUCAAAAAUUAUAGAUACGUUGGAGACAUAUCACACCCGCAGCCGACGGCUGGCGCGGGCUCCCCGCCCUCCCCUCAACUGCCGCCCACCAUGCCAUCCCUCUAACCCCGGCAGACAUCCAACUCCGACACCAGCGAGCCUGCACCCCCCGCCACCCCUAAGAUAGACGAGGAGGUUGCUGCCUCCUCUGCACACGCUGCUCCCAUAAGAUAGAUGAGGAGGCCUUGGUGCUCCUGCGUGGCUGCUGCUUCCUCUACCAAAUCGACUGACCCAAAUUGGAAUUUUAGGCGACCGGCGUCCAGAAAAACUUACAUGAAAAACAUAGGAAUAGAGUGUCAUGUCCUCUUGUAUCCUACGGGAUUUGGAAGAAUGUUUGAUCGCACAGGAAAAAUAAAAGAAUCAUAUAAAGAUGUUCGAGUGGAUGGAAAUUUUCCUUCAAAAUGUAGUAUAAAUGAAUCUUAUGGAAAAAUCCUAAGGAUUCCAAUCUUACGGAUCAAACAACCGUCAUAGGAAAAAUUCCUAAGGAUCCAAAUCCUUUAAAAAUCCUAUAAAAUUCAUUUGUAUCAAAGGAGCCCUUAAUCUUCUUCAGAUACAAUAUAUGCUCUACUAAUAGUUUAAUACUUACAAAUUCCUUUCCACCUAAGAUGGGAAAUGUCAUAGAAUCAUCACCAAGUUUUUCAAGAAGCAUUCAAUCGAGACCUAUGCAAUAACAAAAGUAUGUUCAGUCAGUAUGCACGCAGAGAAACAUUCCAUAUCAAUUUAUUCUGAAUUGCAUACAAAUGGAGAAACAAAUUUGACUCGCUCCAAGCAAAUCUGGAGAUGCCUUAUUGGGGUACUUUUUGCAUGCCUAUUCUAAUCGCACUAUUCUAUCCGCCAAAAUAGAUGCUCAUGGUACUGACAAACAUGAAACUUUAGAAAUUGCACUAUUCUAAUCAUGCAUAGAGGAAAUGAUAGAAGAAUAGUUUGCCACACUUAAACUGGCAGCGCAGUCUCCCGCUUGCCUAUGCUGUGGAUCUCGCCACUGUCAAAGAGGACAACAUAACACCACUAACUUGUAGAGGUGAUGGUCGCAGCAUGGCGAGAAAACUGGCACCAGGCAUAUCGUCCAGAUCGCUCCACCGCCUUUCCGUGUCGACGCAGAUAAUUGAUCAAAACUGUCGUCAGCGCCUUCUCCUCCCACUCGCUCACCAUGCCAUCCUAGAUAGGUAGGAGAACCUUGCAAUAGGCGAACAAAAAACAGAGAAUUGGUCAAACUGUAUUUCUGUAUAAUUAUCUUAAGUUUCAAGCAAUUCAUUCUUUGUAACUCAUGAACAUACAAAAAUAAAUAAACAUUGGCAGUAAAAGGAACAUAGACAUGUAUAAUUAGAGUAAUUAAACUGUUACCUGAUCAUAGAGCGUUCUUUUUUCUUCAUCCCUGAAAGUCUACAAAGAAGAGGCGAAAAUACAUCUAUCAGUACUAUUCAAAGCUGUACAUCCUCGGAUUGAGCAUCCAUGCUAAACAAACAUCAAGUACCUCAUAUAAGCUUUCUUAACCUCUUGAAACUUUCUUCCUACAUCAACAUGUCCUUUAUUUGUAUCUAAUGGAGCUUCUUCGCAAGCUUUUAGGACAGAGAAAGAGUAGGAGGUAAAUAAAAAAUUGCUACAGAUUUGAUAAAAUGACUCUAGAUCACUUUGUAGUUAAACUCAGUUCUUCCAAAUAUAUCAAACAUUCAUAAAUAUUUUUGGAAGAUUUUUUUUGGAAUUGUUCAACAGAGAGACCUAGGCAAAUAUUAGCAGCACAGAACUAACACUAUAGGAAUCAGGAACUUUAUCAUCUGCCAUGGCAGACGACAGAGGCAUGCCUGGCGGAUGGCAAAGGCCUUUGCCGUCAGCCAGCAGAAGGUAACACAUCCGGCUGAACAAACUACGACAAAGGGCUCUUUGCUGUCUGCUGGCAGACGGCAACGAUGCAAAGGCCUUUGUCGUCCACUGGUAGACGGCAAAGGGCCUGGAUGGCACACAUGGCAGCUUAGGUACGUUAAGGGGUUAAUGGCGUGCUUUGCCGUCUGCUGGCAGACAGCAAAGAUGCAAAGGUUUUUGCCGUCUGCCAGCUGACGACAAAGAUGCAAAGGUCUUUGUCGUUUGCCAGCUGACGGCAAAGCAACCAUAUAGGCCAUCCCAGUGCCCCCUAGGUUGCACAGGUAGCUGCCACGUAGAAGCUUUGCCGUCUGCUGGCUGAUGGCAAAGCUCUUUGUCGUCUUCCAGCAGACGGCAAAGAGCAUGUAUAGCCCCUGUUUUUUCUUAAAUUCAUUCGAUUUCACAGAAUUUGAUAUAUAUAUAUAUAUAUAUAUAUAUAUAUAUAUAUGCAACAUAUGCAACAUACCCAACAACAAGUUUCCAACAACAUAUCCAACACAUGAAUCGUGAAGAGAGGAACAUAUGCAACAUAUCCAACAACAAGUUUCCAACAACAUAUCCAACAUAUAAUGGUUUCAUCCAUACAUACAUAUCCAACAACAAGUUUUCAAAAACAAAAAGGAAGUACAAGGAGAAGAGUAGACUCCAUCAAUGCAAGCUUCCUCAUCUAAAGCAAAUCUGCAAAAUGGGAAAGAAGAAGAAGACUAGCAAGAAGAAGAAGGAGAAGAAGAAGACUAGCAAGAAGAAGAACAAUAAGAAAAAGAAGGAAAAAAGAAGAAGAAGAAGAAGAAGAAGAAGAAGAAUUUUUCUUAUCUUUCUUUUUCUUCUCUCCUCCUCUUUAUCUUCUUCUAACUAAGGUAGGUAAAAUGCCAAUUUUUAGCUAAGCUAGGUAAAAAUGCUAAGUGUAGGUCAUUUUAGAGCUAAGCUAGGUAAAUAGGUCAUUUUGGAGCUUAGUAAGGUUACUAUGUCAUUUUCGAGGAAAAUAAGCUAAGGGCCUAUUCUAAAACUCUCCCAACUCCCUCAACUCCACAAAUUUAGCUUCUGAAGCCAGCUUCUCACUUCACCUAGCAAUUGCAAACCGUUCGGAAGUGUUGUCAGCUUCUCGCAACAUUGAAGCCCAGCUAGGAGGGUUGUGGCCUAAUAGGCAUAGACUGGGCCGGCUAGAUGCAUCCCAAUUAGGAAGGGGUACAUGUUCGAGCGAGAGAUUCACGUAAUGAUUCUCUCGGUUAUGUUUCUUUUUGAGGGGGGAGCGAAGUGGUGUACUUGGCGGUGGCAGCUCGCUGUAAUUUGAGCGAACUCCACGCUUCAUGAUUCGGUGGAGCUGGGCCUGCCUUGCUUCUCAUUUUUGCACUAUGGGAUCGCUCAGCUUCUUGUUUCCAGCUUCUCGGGCUAAAUCCGUUCGGGACGAAUUCAUCUGAGAAGUUUUUGAAGCGUGGAGCUGGAGGACAUCAGAACAGGCCCUAAGUCUAUGUCAUUUUGGAGGUAACUAAGAUUAUCAUGCCAUUUUUACCUAAUUAUGCUAAGUAUGUCAUAAAUGAACUGAAGAAGCUAAGUAUAGGUCAUUUUUUAGCUAACCUAGGUAGUUAUGCCAUUUUUAGCUAACUAAGCAUAUUUAUUCAUUUUGGAGGACAAAAUGGCAAGUGUAGGUCAUUUUAGAGCUAUCCUAGUUAAAAUCGGUCAUUUUGGAGGUAGGUAAGGUUAUUUUGUCAUUUUGGAGGAAAAUAAGCUAAGUCUAUGUCAUUUUGGAGCUAAACCAAGAUUAUCAUGCCAUUUUUUCCUAAGUAUGCUAAGUAUGUCAUAAAUGAACUAAAGAAGCUAAGUAUAGGUCAUUUUUUAGCUAACCUAGGUAGUUACGCCAUUUUUAGCUAACUAAGCAUAUUUAUUCAUUUUGGAGGAAAAAAUGGUAAGUGUAGGUCAUUUUAGAGCUAUCCUAGUUAAAAUUGGUCAUUUUGGAGCUAGGUAAGGUUAUUUUGUCAUUUUGGAGGAAAAUAAAUUAAUUAUAUGACAGUUUGGAGCUAAACCAAGGUUAUUAUGCCAUUUCUUUACCUAAGUAAGCUAAUUAUGUCAUAAAUGAACUAGGUAAGCUAAGUAUAGAUCAUUAUUGAGCUAUCCUAGGUAGUUAUGCCUUUUUAGCUAACUAAAUAUAUUAAGUCUUUUAGGAGGGAAAACUGCUAAGUAUAGGCCAUUUUAUAGCUAUCCUAGGUAAAGUAUGUCAGUUUGGAGCUAAGUAAGGUUAUUAUGUCAUUUUCGAGGAAAAUAAGCUAACUAUAGGUCAUUUUGGAGCUAAACUAACGUUAUUGUGCCAUUUUUACCUAAGUGAGCUAAUUAUGUCAUAAAUGAACUAGCUAAGCUAAGUAUAGAUCAUUAUUGAGCUAUCCUAGGUAGUUAUGCCAUUUUUUAGCUAACUAAGAAUAUCAAGUCCUUUUGGAGGAAAAAUGCUAAGUAUAGGUCAUUUUAUAGCUAUCCUAGGUAAAAUAUGUCAGUUUGGAACUAAGUAAGGUUAUUAUGUCAUUUUCAAGGAAAAUAAGCUAAGUAUAGGUCAUUUUGGAUCUAAGUAGGUCAUUUAUUAAGCUAAGUAUGCAUUUGUUAAGCAAAACACUUAGGAAAACUUACCAUCAUCAUGGAGGUGAAGGACCGGUCGGGUUUGCUCCAGUACCAGACGAAGAAGGACCGGUCAGGGUUGUGCUAGUGCCAGAUGGAGAAGGAUCGGUCCAUGCUUGUUGGGAGGCAUGCUGCACCAAAGAUCAUAUGCAAUGUCUUGUUACCAUGAUGCAACUGAAAUUUGAAUAUUAGUAACUAAUGACCAUUCAAAUGAAACUCACCUUCGGCGCUAUACCGAUCUAGGGCAUCGGCGGAGGGGUCUGACCGUUGUUCUAGCACACGGUCUACACAUUUUGUUUUCACGAGUCAGUCAUAUUAGUUAGUAAUGAAAUGAACAUUACAUGCAUGAUUUGGCUAAUAUGCAGGAGAAACUUACCACGAGGAGCUCGUAUAGGGCCCGGUGAGACGCGUCGUUCUGGUUCCUCUCCAGCCGUCCUCUCCUCCAAGUCCCUCUCCCUCUCCGCCGCCUGCUUGUUUGCCUCCGCUAGAAGCUCCUAGGCCCUAGCCUUGAUGGCGAGCUCCAUUGGCCGUGGACGAGGCCUUAUCUUAGGAUCGGAGCUCAUCUGGUGCUUCUUGAUCUCCGGGAGAGUUCUAGGACAAUGUAUGAGUCCAUCCCCAAUGGCUACCGAGCCAUGGUACCUCCCGCCACCAGAUAGCAUCACGAUCUCUGGAUCAAAAGGACUCUGGCUCAGGUUGAAGUCCUCUCCUUUCCUCGUUUGUCCAACGUCUCUGUACCUCACGAGCUUGUUGUGGGAGGAGAUGUUGGUGAAGCUCUCUGGAUGAUCAAGGUCAUCCUCAGAGAAUUCCUUGGCCUUCUUGUACGAGGCAGUAUGGGCCAUGGCAUAGAGGUCGUAAAGCGAUGGCAUGUCCUCCUUGUUGUGUUGCGCCUAAAAGAGAGGAACAAAACAUUAGUUAAGGGCUCAAGCUAGCAUGAAGAAUGAGAUUGCAUGAAUCGUGAAGCAAACCACAUACCCAGUGAUACCCGUACUCAAACAUGUUGGAGCUCCCUUGAUGGUGUGGCACACCUUGCAUUUGGGCACACUUAUCCCUCACCUUGUUGUGGACGGCUAGCCAUUGGGGAGAGCACCACUCAUCCACCAACGCCUCCCAACAGUCCAUCCUAUCCGCACACCAUCUCGGGAGCACCUAAGUUAGACAAAGAGAAAUUUCAAUGCUACACCUACGAAUCAAAUCAAGGAAACUAAGUACAAGGCCUUAAGAAUAGCUAAUUACCUUCCUGUACUUCUCCUUACUCAGAUACUUGGCACAAUACUUUGUCUUGGACCUCUUAAUGUUGGUCAAGGCAUAGUAGUCUCGAACAGCCUGCACCCGAGCCUCGUGUCGUAAGUUCUGAAGUAGGCGCUUGCACUCGGCUUCGAGAACCAUAGCCGCGUCCGCCUCGUGUUCCCCAAGACACAUGUAGAAGGUAUGCAAUCAAACAAGACAAUAGUGAUUAGUACAAUCACUAGGUACUGCUGAUUUUUAAUUCUGUAAAGGAGAAAUUACCCAAAACCAUCGGAUCACAAUGUCGGCCACCGUCUCGCACAAGACACCAUCGACCCUCUCCUCCGGCGGGGCCGGGGCAGCCACGUAUAGCUCCCAGCUCAGUGUUAGCUGUGGAACCUGACCCUCACCGGGCAACAUGGCCCACCCCAGGAAGUGGUGCUGGCAAAGCACACCAUGCAAGGACCUGGUUGGGCCUGCGGGCACCAGGGGCGUAUUUCCAACCCCUGCAAUAUGACAAGGCCUACACAUUAGAUAUUAAUUUGAAGAAACAUGAAGGACAAAGGUUAAGAAAGAGUAAAUGCACUUACUUCUCCCUGUUAGGCUCAAUCAACCACCUGUGAUCACGGGUCGCCGGCACGGGCGGGACCUUUGUACCACCACGCUGGUAGACCUUCUUGCCCCCCCCCCCUCAACCAGCUCGCCCUUGCUAUAGCUAUCCUCAAAAAAGUUGUCCUCACCAUCAGCAUGGCAACUAGUCUUCGGAGUCACGUGGGACAAAGACUUUGGGACUGAAGUCUCGUGGGAUGAAGACUCUGGGACCUGAGUCUCAUGGGACGAAGGCUCGGCGACCUGAGGCUCAUUGGCCCGAGGCUCGUGGACCAAAGUCGAGACGGGCCCACGUUAGACAGGUCCACCUCAGAUGGAGCAGUCCUGUGGUCAGGAGAAUCAACUGGGGGUGGCGGCGAGGAAGGCGUAGCAGCCUUCCUACCUCUCCUGCCACCACGUCCACCUCUAGGGGCCCUCUUUGUCUUCCCCCGACGUCUCCCGGCCGAAGAAGAAGUGCCCGCCAGUGGUGUCUGCAUACUGUCUAGUAGCACUCUCCGGAGGUGCUGGGGUGGAAUGGAAACACCCCUCCCAGCACGCGCCAAGGAAGGAGGCUGGGAGCGCUCUCGACCCGCGCCCACCAUCUGUCAACACCUGCAAUGACAAAGAGUAAACGAAAUUAGUACAACAUAAACAUAAUAAAAAAAUUAAGUGUAUCAUCAUCAUGAACAAAAUAAAAAUUGAAUACCUAAUAACAUGAAAUAAUUAAUAAUAUAUAUAUGUAUGUACAUAAUAAUAAUUGAAUAGCUGACUCAUAAUUCACAAAUGUAUGACCCCAUUGGCCUCUGGAAGGACGAAGAGCACCUUUUUCGGGAGUUGUCGGGGGUCGNNNNNNNNNNNNNNNNNNNNNNNNNNNNNNNNNNNNNNNNNNNNNNNNNNNNNNNNNNNNNNNNNNNNNNNNNNNNNNNNNNNNNNNNNNNNNNNNNNNNNNNNNNNNNNNNNNNNNNNNNNNNNNNNNNNNNNNNNNNNNNNNNNNNNNNNNNNNNNNNNNNNNNNNNNNNNNNNNNNNNNNNNNNNNNNNNNNNNNNNNNNNNNNNNNNNNNNNNNNNNNNNNNNNNNNNNNNNNNNNNNNNNNNNNNNNNNNNNNNNNNNNNNNNNNNNNNNNNNNNNNNNNNNNNNNNNNNNNNNNNNNNNNNNNNNNNNNNNNNNNNNNNNNNNNNNNNNNNNNNNNNNNNNNNNNNNNNNNNNNNNNNNNNNNNNNNNNNNNNNNNNNNNNNNNNNNNNNNNNNNNNNNNNNNNNNNNNNNNNNNNNNNNNNNNNNNNNNNNNNNNNNNNNNNNNNNNNNNNNNNNNNNNNNNNNNNNNNNNNNNNNNNNNNNNNNNNNNNNNNNNNNNNNNNNNNNNNNNNNNNNNNNNNNNNNNNNNNNNNNNNNNNNNNNNNNNNNNNNNNNNNNNNNNNNNNNNNNNNNUCCCUCGGCGACCCUCGACCAUUGGCGACCCUCUUUUUCUACUUUUCCUACUUUUUUCAUCUUCUACUUCUACUUCUUUUUUUCAUCUUAUUUCUUCUUCUUCUAUUCUUCUCCUCCUCCUCCUCCUCAUCCUCCUCUUCUUCUUCUUCUUCUUCUUCUUCUUCUUUAUAUUCCUUUUUCCUCUCCUUCUUUUUCUUCUUCUUCCUUCUUUUCCUUCUUCCUCUUGUCUUCUUUUUCUUCUUCAUUUUCCUUAUUUUCCCUUUUCCUCUCCACUUCUACUUUUUCUUCUUUUUUCCAUCUCACAAAAUGUACUAAUAACCUAAAAUAUGACUAACCUAAAAUAGGACUAAAUAUAAAAAAAUAACCUACAAUCUAGUAACCUGAAAAGGUAACUAAAUCAACUAACCUAAGCAACUAAAUCUACUAACCUAAAAAAGCAACUAAUCAACUAAAAUAGCAAGAAAAAAGGGAAGAACCUCACCAGGGGGCGGCUGGACGGAGCAGCGCCGGGCGGCGGGUGGCGGUUGGAUGGAGAGGUGCCGAGUGGCGGGGGGNNNNNNNNNNNNNNNNNNNNNNNNNNNNNNNNNNNNNNNNNNNNNNNNNNNNNNNNNNNNNNNNNNNNNNNNNNNNNNNNNNNNNNNNNNNNNNNNNNNNNNNNNNNNNNNNNNNNNNNNNNNNNNNNNNNNNNNNNNNNNNNNNNNNNNNNNNNNNNNNNNNNNNNNNNNNNNNNNNNNNNNNNNNNNNNNNNNNNNNNNNNNNNNNNNNNNNNNNNNNNNNNNNNNNNNNNNNNNNNNNNNNNNNNNNNNNNNNNNNNNNNNNNNNNNNNNNNNNNNNNNNNNNNNNNNNNNNNNNNNNNNNNNNNNNNNNNNNNNNNNNNNNNNNNNNNNNNNNNNNNNNNNNNNNNNNNNNNNNNNNNNNNNNNNNNNNNNNNNNNNNNNNNNNNNNNNNNNNNNNNNNNNNNNNNNNNNNNNNNNNNNNNNNNNNNNNNNNNNNNNNNNNNNNNNNNNNNNNNNNNNNNNNNNNNNNNNNNNGGUCGGGGCGGUGGGGGUCGGCGGCGGCGGGGGCGGCUCGGGCACGAGACGGUGGGGUGAGGUGAGGGGAGAGAGAGAGGGGUGGAGCGCGGGCGCUAACCGUUUUUUGUUAGGUCAAAGCUCUUUGCCGUCUGCUAAUAGACGACAAAGAGACUAGGUAGUAGGGUGGCGCCGGGGGCAGCCGUUAGGUUGGCCACUUUCUUUGUCGUCUACUAGCAGACGACAAAGAAAGUGGUCGUUAGGUCGUUCUCGUUAGUGGGCCAAAGCUUCUAUGCCAUCAGCUAGCAGACGACAAAGAGCAGGCUGACGGCAAACAUGAUCUUUGCCAUCAGCUCAUUAUUUACCAUCAAUUUUCUAUAAGCUGAUGGCAAAGACGUUCUUUGUCGUCAGCUAGCUGACGGCAUAGAGCUGGCUGACGGUAAAGAUCCUGAUUCCAUUAGUGUAAGAGAUAGCAUUACCAUUGAUAAUGGGCAAUGCAUAAAACUCAUGAUGAACUAAUAAUGGGUGAGCAAUGAUUUUAUUUCUAAGCUUAAUGAUCCUCAUCUCUUACACAACACAUCUAGCAUAUAAUAAUACGUGUUUAUUUGCAGCCUGGAACAUCUGCCAGUUAAAAGUUUUACCCACAAGGAACAUUAAUGUUCACUAUUGACACGAUGCAAGACAUAAAGCCAAAGACUCGCACCUACAAUACAUCCUACAUGUUAUAUGUGAAUCUACAAACAUGAAAUUUGAUCAAUUACUCAUGGGGUAAAUUUUCUUUCUUCUUUACAGAUCCUUCCAGCAAUGAAAGAAUGUGCACGUAAAAAAGUGUCUUCCUUUAAUUGAGCUUUUCAGUUUGGCACAGAUGAGCAGUUCACUUCCAAAUCCUGGAACAGGUAGAAGUAUCGCAUAGCUGCGGAGAGAAAGAGAGAGAGAACACCAACCUGCAGUCGAUGUCGGAGCAGCUCAGUGGAUGCCAGUUAGAGGACACC
rnacentral:lncRNA from 1 species